UAUGACGUUCGUUUUUUGAAAUUCAAUCAUUAUGAUAGAGUUUUAUUAAUUAGAUCCCUUAUGUGCUUAGGUGCAAUUAUUAGCGGCGUUUUCGUCCCUCUUAUUUUGCACGGCUCUUUGACGACGUAGUAUCUGUGAGUGGACCCCUUAUAAAAUACAUAUUUUACUAUUAGAAAUGCAUACAUGAAAAACAUGAUUUAAUGGUUACGUUUUAUGAAACGUUUAUGAGUAAAUUGGAUUUACGCUUUAUGAUAUUCAUGCUUUAUCGGUUUUACAUUCUUCGUAGUAUAUAUGAUUGAUGACUAUACUACGAAUAUGUUUUAUGAUAUGAUGUUUGAGCUACUGAGCUCCGUUGAGAUAUAUGUACUUAUGUUCGAAAAUAUUAUGUUCAAUGAUUUUUAUGCUUAUCUAGUGGUCACUAUAUGCCUUCGAGUGGGUGUUGUAAAAGACUACGGGCUUAUGAAGAGUUUGAAGGAUUAUUUUGUGAAAACAUGUUCAUUUAAGCAACAUCAAUAAGCAUGCAAUUAACAAUUAAAGGCGGAAUCAUGCUUGCAUGCACUUAAAAACAAAACUUUAACCAUGAAAUUCAAAGCCUAGUAGAUUGGUGAACCAAAACUCAACUCAAAACAAAGUGAGUUGAAAUUUAUACCUUUGUAGAUUCCUCUUUGCAUAAGCAAAGGCUAAUCACCCAAAGAGAGGGCCUUCAUUCCUUGCAUCUUAAAUCUAUGGAUUUGGAUGGAAGAAUAGGAUUCUCCAAGUUCCCAAAAUAGAGAACCUCUAAGUAUCUUCA
rnacentral:lncRNA from 1 species